AUGCUUGUUUUGGCAGCACAUAUACUAAAACUGGAACAAUACAGAGAAGAUUAGCAUGGCCCCUGCACAAGGAUGACACGCAAAUUCGUGAAGCAUUCCAUAUUUUU